AGUGAGAUAACUGGAUCACAUGGUGGUUCCAGUCCUAGUUUUUUGAGGAACCUCCACACUGCUUUCCAGAGGGGUUGCACCAUUUUGUAGUCCCACCAACAAU
rnacentral:pre_miRNA from 1 species